GACGGAAGGUGCAAGCGUUGUUCGGACUUAUUGGGCGUAACGCGCGUGUAGGCGGCUUGGCAAGUCGGGUGUGAAAGCCCUCAGCUUAACUGAGGAAGUGCGCCCGAAACUGCUUUGCUUGAGUACCGGAGAGGAUGGCGGAAUGCCCCAAGUAGAGGUGAAAUUCGUAGAUAUGGGGCGGAACACCGGUGGCGAAGGCGGCCAUCUGGACGGAUACUGACGCUGAGACGCGAAAGCGUGGGUAGCAAACAGG
rnacentral:rRNA from 1 species